GGUUGUGGCUCAGUGGUAGAGUGCUUGCCUAGCAUGUAUGAGGCACUGGGUUUGAUCCUCAGCACCA
rnacentral:tRNA from 1 species